GUAGAAGUGGGGUGGUUCUAAUGGCCCUGGGCUGACCCACUGGACCGAGUUUGAGUGAACCCGAGAAGUAAUAGGAUCUGAAACUGGGUAAACAAUAUGAAAAUACACCCGAAUAAAGGGAACUGGAUUGAGAAAGAAGUGAUAAGGAUCCACGGCCCAAACCCAAUAACCCUUGAGGAGGAACUGACCCACCCGAGACAGAGUUUAUGCAUCCAAAAAGAAAAUUGGGGACUACAUCCUUGGCUAAUGAUAACGAAUCUUGCACUAGUGAUGCUGUAAAGGAUGAAUCUCCACCGUAGGAUUGGUUGAAAAGGCAGUAAGAGGUUCCGGUAUCCGGGCAUGAAAAUCCACGGACUUGGGUACAUUGGGCCAUGGAGCAAUCCAAUGACCCGUAAGUAGAAGAGAUAUUUGUAAUGAAUGUGGUGGAGGAGCAACCAGUGCAACCGGAGCAGGGUACCCAAGCAGCAUCAUUACUAGUGUCUAAGACCAUAUUCAUAACUUGACCCGGAGUACCCAAUUUAACCCGAACCACAUAGUUACCAAUGUUUAGAACUUGUUGACCUGGAGCAAUAGGUACAGCGGUGGUCAUUUGGGCUUGUAGACUUGACAAGUACUUUAGCCGUUGUGGGUCUUUAGUGGCCAUGUUAAUGACUGUAUUAAGCAAUGAGG
rnacentral:lncRNA from 1 species